AAUUUAUCGCUGCUGUACUCGGUCCCGGCAGCAGAGACGCGCUGGCAGGGAACCUCCACCCGUCCUGCGGCUCUUUGUGUCACCGCACAGCAGAGCAUCACACGCGAGAAACACAAUGGGCCGAGGAGAUGCGGUGGCUGAAGGCUCUGCUCUAUUAUUCUGAAUUUCAUCUGCUGGGGUUAUUUAUUGGUAGCGAGUGCUGCUUGCAAGGGGAGGGAUGGUAACGAGCUGGGCUGGAGCAUUCCGCCUCAGCUGCUUCUUGGCUACAUUUCCCUGCCACUCCAUGCACUGCAAGUCUGUUUUCCCUCGUGUUCUGAGAUCAUUAGUGAUCAGUUUGGGGGCAUUCAGUCCACUGAGAGGGUUUCAGACAAAGAAUCUUGCAUUUUGCUCACUUCACAAAUUGUUAAGUAGCUACAGCACAACUGUGGUACUGCAGCAUGCUCUCCCAUAACCUUAAACAGCUAGAAAAAAGGGGUGUUAGGAGCAACUGCUAGCAGGCACGCCUGCUCCCACGGAAAGGUUUCACCUCUGCCAUCUACCGGCACACCACAAAGAUCCUCAGCAGAUUUACUUCCCGUCCCCGCUCCUGAAUGUAGACAAAUCCUGUCUGUAAUUGCAUAUUCAAAAAAUGUCGCCGGAAUUUUUAACAUGCAAACUUCCCAGCAAAUCAUCACAGGGUUGUUGUCAGCUCAUUACUGACGAAACCAAGUGAGGGCAGCUGAGAUAAAUUGGUAUCACUUCAGCUGCUUCCAGCAGUUGAAGACGGGCUUUCAAAAGCUCAUCCUAGGUAUCUGCAGCUAACAUCCAGUCCUAAAGGAACACUAAAACAUCUGGAAAGUCAUUCAGGUGGAGAAGAAGCGUACUUGGUAACACACAGAAAAUAACCAUGUUGUAAACAAUGCACAGUAAAGGAGUUCAGCCAGAACAGUGCAAUGGACUGUGCACCUCCAUCUGCUGCUGGAAUACCACUUGUUUAGAGAACUGCUUAAUCGAGACUGGAAAUUGAAAGAACACAGCAAUAUGGAUGAGGUGCAGCUGAAGGAAUUAAAAGGGGAAAAAAAAAUAAGAAAAGAAGAUAAUUGAAAGUCCAACAAAAAAUAGGC